UACGUAGGGGGCAAGCGUUGUCCGGAUUUAUUGGGCGUAAAGAGCGUGUAGGCGGCCUUGCAAGUCCGUUGUGAAAACUCGAGGCUCAACCUCGAGACGCCGGUGGAAACUGCAAAGCUAGAGUCCGGAAGAGGAGAGUGGAAUUCCUGGUGUAGCGGUGAAAUGCGCAGAUAUCAGGAGGAACACCCGUGGCGAAGGCGGGUCUCUGGGCCGAUACUGACGCUGAGGAGCGAAAGCGUGGGGAGCGAACAGG
rnacentral:rRNA from 1 species